rnacentral:rRNA from 1 species
AACGAACGCUGGCGGCAGGCCUAACACAUGCAAGUCGAGCGCGCCCUUCGGGGUGAGCGGCGGACGGGUGAGUAACGCGUGGGAACGUGCCCUUUUCUACGGAAUAGCCUCGGGAAACUGAGAGUAAUACCGUAUACGCCCUUUGGGGGAAAGAUUUAUCGGAAAAGGAUCGGCCCGCGUUGGAUUAGGUAGUUGGUGGGGUAAUGGCCUACCACGCCGACGAUCCAUAGCUGGUUUGAGAGGAUGAUCAGCCACACUGGGACUGAGACACGGCCCAGACUCCUACGGGAGGCAGCAGUGGGGAAUCUUAGACAAUGGGGGCAACCCUGAUCGAGCCAUGCCGCGUGAGUGAUGAAGGCCUUAGGGUUGUAAAGCUCUUUCAGCUGGGAAGAUAAUGACGGUACCAGCAGAAGAAGCCCCGGCUAACUCCGUG